CAACAACUCGUGAGUUUCUCGUUGGGCUCGGAUGUGACUCAGAGAACUGACCAAAGAUGGAAACGUAUAAGUAACAUAUACGCGCCCCUCGGCUUCCGUAGAGCAAACAGAUCUCCUCUGGGUCUGCUGUCCUGUGGCUCUGCAGAUGGAGCUCGUGGGAUUCACCCUCCUCUGCUCCUGGUCCGUCCAGUUUUUCAGCAGCGUCCACGCUCCAGCGUCAGGUAGGUCUCUACAGCCCGGCUCACCUGGACGAGUCUUUGUGGUUUCUGGUGAUGAUGCGGUCCUCCCAUGUCACCUCGACACCUCCGUGCCCUCACGUGUCAUGACACUGGAGUGGUCACGGGUGGAUGGUCCGUCCCCAUUGACGGUUCAUGUCCUCCGCGAUCAUUUUUGAUCAUCAUCACUUUGGCUGCUUUUCCAAGGACUGAAACAUGCACCAAUAAUAACAACACUGUCUGUUACAGUCACAUUUGUUUAGAUAUUAAAUAUAUACAUGUUUAAAUUUUG